GGCUAACACAGUUCCCAACAGGAGGAUCAAGUGCCAAGGCCCUGGUGACUUUGAGGAAGAGAAAGAGGCCAGUGCGAUUGGAGAGCAGUGAGGUUAAUGCUAUUACUUACCUUGAAGGAUGCUGUGAUAGUAAAUGGAUUUAUACAUGGAACGUGCUUGAAAUAAUGCCUGACAGUUUGUAAAGACAAGGUCUCACUCUGUUACCCAGGCUGGAGUCCGG